rnacentral:rRNA from 1 species
ACGGAAGGCAGCAGUGGGGAAUAUUGCACAAUGGGCGAAAGCCUGAUGUAGCGACGCCGCGUGAGUGAAGAAGUUAUUCGUAACGUAAAGCUCUAUCAGCAGGGAAGAAAAUGACGGUACCUGACUAAGAAGCCCCGGCUAACUACGUGCCAGCAGCCGCGGUAAUACGUAGGGGGCAAGCGUUAUCCGGAUUUACUGGGUGUAAAGGGAGCGUAGACGGCAAAGCAAGUCUGAAGUGAAAUCCCGGGGCUCAACCCUGGAACUGCUUUGGAAACUGUUUAGCUAGAGUGCAGGAGAGGUAAGUGGAAUUCCUAGUGUAGCGGUGAAAUGCGUAGAUAUUAGGAGGAACACCAGUGGCGAAGGCGGCUUACUGGACUGUAACUGACGUUGAGGCUCGAAAGCGUGGGGAGCAAACAGGAUUAGAUACCCUGGUA